rnacentral:rRNA from 1 species
ACUUUAAGUAUCCUAAAGGGUUGUUGGAGACUACGACGUAGAUAGGCAGGGUGUGUAAGCGCUGUGAGGCGUUGAGCUAACCUGUACUAAUUGCCCGUGAGGCUUAACCAUACAACACCCAAGGGGUUU